rnacentral:rRNA from 1 species
UACGGGGGGUGCGAGCGUUGUCCGGAAUCACUGGGCGUAAAGGGCGCGUAGGUGGCCUGUGGAAGUCUGCGGUGAAAGCCCGGCGCUCAACGCCGGGUCGGCCGUGGAUACUCUCGGGCUCGAGCUCACUAGAGGCAGAUGGAAUUCCGGGUGUAGCGGUGGAAUGCGUAGAGAUCCGGAAGAACACCGGUGGCGAAGGCGGUCUGCUGGGGUGAUGCUGACACUGAUGCGCGACAGCGUGGGGAGCAACAGG